GGUCUAGUAGCUCAGUUGGUUAGAGCGUUGGCUGUACUAAAGCCCUCUCCUGUCGGACGUAGGUUCAAAUCCCAUCGAGACCG
rnacentral:tRNA from 1 species